rnacentral:rRNA from 1 species
CCUACGGGUGGCAGCAGUGAGGAAUAUUGGUCAAUGGACGAGAGUCUGAACCAGCCAAGUAGCGUGAAGGAUGACUGCCCUAUGGGUUGUAAACUUCUUUUAUAUGGGAAUAAUAUGUUCCACGUGUGGGCUUUUGUAUGUACCCUAUGAAUAAGGAUCGGCUAACUCCGUGCCAGCCGCCGCGGUAAAACGGAGGAUCCGAGCUGUAUCCGGAUUUCUUGGGUUUAAAGGGAGCGUAGGUGGAUUGUUAAGUCAGUUGUGAAAGUUUGCGGCUCAACCGUAAAAUUGCAGUUGAAACUGGCAGUCUUGAGGACAGUAGAGGUGGGCGGAAUGCGUGGUGUAGCGGUGAAAUGCUUAGAUAUCACGAAGAACUCCGAUUGCGAAGGCAGCAUACCGGCGCGCAACUGACGCUCAUGCACGAAAGCGUGGGUAUCGAACAGGAUUAGAUACCCCAGUAGUC